rnacentral:rRNA from 1 species
UGAACCUGCGGAAGGAUCAUUACCGAGUGAGGGCCCUCUGGGUCCAACCUCCCACCCGUGUCUAUCGUACCUUGUUGCUUCGGCGGGCCCGCCGUUUCGACGGCCGCCGGGGAGGCCUUGCGCCCCCGGGCCCGCGCCCGCCGAAGACCCCAACAUGAACGCUGUUCUGAAAGUAUGCAGUCUGAGUUGAUUAUCGUAAUCAGUUAAAACUUUCAACAACGGAUCUCUUGGUUCCGGCAUCGAUGAAGAACGCAGCGAAAUGCGAUAAGUAAUGUGAAUUGCAGAAUUCAGUGAAUCAUCGAGUCUUUGAACGCACAUUGCGCCCCCUGGUAUUCCGGGGGGCAUGCCUGUCCGAGCGUCAUUGCUGCCCUCAAGCACGGCUUGUGUGUUGGGCCCCCGUCCCCCUCUCCCGGGGGACGGGCCCGAAAGGCAGCGGCGGCACCGCGUCCGGUCCUCGAGCGUAUGGGGCUUUGUCACCUGCUCUGUAGGCCCGGCCGGCGCCAGCCGACACCCAACUUUAUUUUUCUAAGGUUGACCUCGGAUCAGGUA